CACGUAGGGGGCGAGCGUUAUCCGGAUUCACUGGGUGUAAAGGGAGCGUAGACGGCCAAGCAAGCCAGGGGUGAAAGCCCGGGGCCCAACCCCGGGACUGCCCUUGGAACUGCAUGGCUGGAGUGCGGGAGGGGCAGGCGGAAUUCCUGGUGUAGCGGUGAAAUGCGUAGAUAUCAGGAGGAACACCGGCGGCGAAGGCGGCCUGCUGGAUCGCGACUGACGUUGAGGCUCGAAAGCGUGGGGAGCGAACAGG
rnacentral:rRNA from 1 species